AACGCACGAGACCUGCGGACCUGCGGAAGGAUCAUUACCGAGUUUACAAAACUCCCAAACCCUUUGUGAACCUUACCUAUCGUUGCUUCGGCGGGAACGCCCCGGCGCCCUCGCGGCCCGGAACCAGGCGCCCGCCGGAGGCCCCAAACCCUCAUGUCUUUAGUGGUUUCCUCCUCUGAGUGACAUAAACAAAUAAAGUAAAAACUUUCAACAACGGAUCUCUAGAUCGGAAGAGCACAC
rnacentral:misc_RNA from 1 species